rnacentral:rRNA from 1 species
AUUGAACGCUGGCGGCGGGCCUAACACAUGCAAGUCGAACGAGUGGCGGACGGGUGUGUAAUGUCUGGGAACCUGCCUUAUGGAGGGGGAUAACUACUGGAAACGGUAGCUAAUACCGCAUACCAUCGGAUGUGCCCAGAUGGGAUUAGCUAGUAGGUGGGGUAAAGGCUCACCUAGGCGACGAUCCCUAGCUGGUCUGAGAGGAUGACCAGCCACACUGGAACUGAGACACGGUCCAGACUCCUACGGGAGGCAGCAGUGGGGAAUAUUGCACAAUGGGCGAAAGCCUGAUGCAGCCAUGCCGCGUGUAUGAAGAAGGCCUUCGGGUUGUAAAGUACUUUCAGCGGGGAGGCGUUACCCGCAGAAGAAGCACCGGCUAACUACGUGCCAGCAGCCGCGGUAAUUC